rnacentral:tRNA from 1 species
GGGCGAUUAGCUCAGCGGUAGUAGCGCUUCCUUCACACGGAAGAGGUCACUGGUUCGAACCCAGUAUCGCCCA